rnacentral:lncRNA from 1 species
CACUGAUUAAUCUAGAUUGUCAUGGAGGCUGUUCACUGGCAGUAAUGAAGAUAGUUGCAUGGAAAGAACAGGAGGAAAGUGGUUUAAAAAGACUGUUUCAAAGAUGGGCCAUCAGCAUAUAUGUGUUUUCCAGGCUAGAAAAUUUUAUAGUUAAAAUAAUGCAAAGAAUUUUGGUUUAAAAAUCACUAGAGAAUUAGGUGAGAGAUUUUGAUAUCAUCUGAGGACUUUUUCCCACCUCGGGGAUGAUGAAGAAAACAUCAGGAAAGUUCAGUAAUUAGUCCAUGCCAUACCAGUAAGUGACUGGGACAAUGACACCCACUUGUGAAUGAGACUUUCGAGAAGCACAAUCAGAAAACAAAAAAUGCAUAUCGUGAAUAUGAUAAAACACCAAGGGGCAAAAGGAAGCAAAUAGACAUGGUUCAAAGAAGCUCCCAGCAAAUGGUGUGCCACAGUGCUUCCUUCAAACUUUUAUUUUGAUGUUUAGGUUUCAUCGGGUCUCUAGAAUAUAAUUGACUUUUGCUCAGAGCACCUAAUAUGACAGGGUUCAAAUGAAGACUCGAUGCCAGACUAAGAGGAUGACAAGAAAACCUCGUUAAAAAUACUCAUUUACUUGUUAACAGAGUUUUUCUCUGCAGUUUUUCAUGCUGCCCUCUAGGAUUCAUUUUUAUUUAUUGCCUCCUAAGGUUCCAUAUCUUUUAUGACAGUCUUCUCAUUCAUGUUGCCCAGAAACAAAAAGGCCCGGGGUUUCCUGACAUUGGUGCUUUUAAGAUAUGCUCUAUUCCCCAGUUUUGAGCAAAAGUCAAAGGAAAAGAUAAUAUAUGAGUACAGGGAGACCUGAAGCUUGACAAAGGAUCUCCUUCUUUCUAGAGAGAGAGAAUACCUCUUCCUCAUUAGGGAUAAAAGCCCAGAAGCCACAAGCUGACACGAGUCUCUGCAACCCUAGGCUUCUUCAAGCCGUCAGAGUACACAAUAGCCCGAUAGUGUCUGAAAGCAUGAAAACGCCUCAUACCCAAUAAUAAACUAUUUUUCUAGUCAUCUUUUUAUUUUAACACAGUGCACAGCAUGUGUUCAUGUACCCAAACAUAUUAAUUAGCUAUGUACCUGCAUAUAGGAUUAUAACAUUCAUUAAUUGAAGAUCCUGUGAAAAGUGAAUAAUAGCUGGCAUUAAAAUAUUCCAAGUAUUGUGCUAGGAAUUUGCCUUGCAUUGUUUCAUUUAAACCUCAGGUAACAGUAUAUUGAAAAGCUAUUAAUAUAACUAUUUUACAGAAAAGGAAACUGAGGCUUAAAAGGAAAAAGUCAAAAGUUUGGGUAAACAAUAGGUGAAACUGUUGGGGGGAAGGAAGAAUUAGGAGGAUGGAAUAACAUACAUACACUACUGUAUAAAAUAGAUGAUUAACAAGAACCUACUAUAUAUCACAGGAAAGUCUACUCAAUAGUUUGUGAAAACCUAUAUGGGAAAAAAGAAUGGAUAUAUUUAUAUGUGUGAAUGAUUCACUUUGCUGUACACCUGAAACUAAUGCAACAUUGUUAAGUCAACUAUUAAAAGAAAGUCUGUAACUUUUCUCUUGUAAUAUGUUGACAUUAUCAUCUUUUUAAGUUUUGAGUGAAAUGUUAAAAAAAAAAGUUUGGGUAAACAGAUAUUGAAAGUCUCAUAGGCAUUGGAGAGUUCCCGUCAUGGCUCAGUGGUUAACGAACCCGAAGAGUAACCUUGAGGUUGCGGAUUCGAUCCCUGGCCUCGCUCAGUGUGUUAAGGAUGCAGUGCUGCUGUGAGCUGUGGUGUAGGUUGCAGACAUGGAUCAGAUCUGGCAUUGCUGUGGCUGUGGCUGUGGCCAGUGGCUACGUUUCUGGUUAGACCCCAAGCCUGGAAACUGCGGGUGUGACCCUAAAAAAGACCAAAAAAAAAAAAAAAAACUGAAGUGAUUGUUUAUCCUUACUGCUUUAAGUCUGUAGAUUCAGUUUCUUAUGAUAGGUUGUGAGCAGGUCUGAAUCUCAGAUGAUAUUUAUAGGUAAGGUUCUACAGAUUUUCCAGAUUAUUAAAAUAUUUUUAAAGGUCUCUCUGGGUUGGCAAAAGUGCCCUGGCUACACUGACUUCUCACCCGGGGAUCUCCUUCAUAUAACAGCUAAUGAGUUAGGCCCAGUUAACCAGGUUCCAGAAACCUGGUCUGAUUAUGCCUGAGCCAGUGUCUCAAAGUCUGUCUCCUGGUCACUGCUGGUGACUCCCACAGGGAUCCUCACAGGCCAGCUGGCACUUUUCCUUGUCCCUAUCAAUGCGGGAACUUCAGUCUUAGGAAUUUGACUUUGAGGGAGCCAAGGAGAGACAGAAGAACUGGAGGUUUGGGCUGGCUGGUAGGUUGGGGUGGGUGCUAUUAUAGAUGUUAAAUAGCACCUCUGAUUGGGAGACCAGGAGAAAAAUGUAAGUAUUGAUAAAAUGAGGUAUUCAUCCUUUAACAGGAUAGGGCUCACAAUCACACUUAAAUUGGAUCUUCAGGAAAAAGAAAAACUAUUCUCAAAAUGCAAACAUGAAAUUUAUGGUACCAUUCUUGGUAUAUAUCCAAAAAAACAAAAAACACUAAUUUGAAAAGACACGGGAGUCCUAAUGUUCAUAGCAGCAUUAGUUAUAAUGGCCAAGAUAUGGAAACAACCUAAGUAUUAAUCAAUGGAUAAAUGGAUAAAGUAGAUGUAUGUACUAUGAAAUUCUAUUCAACCAUAAAAAAGAAUGGCAUUUUGCCAUGUGCAACAACAUGGACGGACUUGAAGAGCAUUAUGCUAAGUGAAAUAAGUCAGGCAGAGAAAGCAAAUAUUGUACAAUAUCACUUAUAUGCGGAAUUUAAAAGACCCAACUAAUGAAUAAAACAGAAAAGAUAUAGUAAAGACUCACAGAUAUAGAGAACAAACUAGUGGUUACCAGAGGGGAGAGGAAAGGGUUGAGGGGUAAGACAAAGGUUGGGGAUUAGGAUGUUCAAACUAUUAGGCAUAAAAUAAGCUACAAGAGGAGCUCUCUUGUGGUGCAGUGUGUUAAAGAUCCAGCAUUGUCACUGCAGCAGCUUGGGUUGCUGCUGGGACAGGUUUGAUCUCUGGACCAGGAACUUCCAUAUGCCAUAGGUGUGGCCAAAAAAGAAAAAAAAGGAAUAUAUUGUACAACAUGGUGAAUACAGCCAAUAUUUUUUAAUAACUAUAAUGGAGUAUAACCUUUAAAAAUUGUGAAUCAUUAUAUGGUACACCUGUUAACAUAUAAUAUUAUACAUCAACAAUAUUUCAAUUAAAAAAAAAAUUUGGAGUUCCGGUUGCUGUUCAGUGGGCUUAGAAUCUGACUAGUAUCUAUGAGGAUGUGGGUUUGAUCCCUGGCCUUGCUCAGUUGGUUAAAGGAUCCAGUGUUGCCAUGAGCUGUGAUGUAGGUGGCAGGUAUAGCUCAGAUCUGGCUUUACUGUGGCUGUGGCAUAGGCUGGCAGCUGCAGCUGUGAUUCAACCCCUGGCCUGGAACUUCCAUAUGUUGUGGGUACAGCCCUAAAAAGAGAAAAAGAAGAGGAAGAAGAAGAGGAGGAGGAACAAGAAGGGAAAGAAAUUUAAGGUAAAACAGUAUAUACGAUGCUCAAAAUAUUAACAAGAAUAUGCACUAUGCUAAAUAGAUCAUAAAAUGGAAUUACUACAAGUGAUAAUAGAUUAUGGUUCAGAAACUCUACCACUUGUAGUGAAUAGAAAGAAAUCUCUAAGUGUGUCAAUUUGUCAUUUUUUGGAUCAAUAUUAAUCAUUUACUAAAGUGACAGGGGAGUCCUUGGUAGAGAUUCUAAGGUUAAUAAAAAGGGUAAAGUUCUGAAAUCCUGUCAAGUUCCAAUUACCAUAUCAGUGGGAACAUUAGGUGUUACAGGUUUAUACCUGCCCCCUACAUUUUGGGGAGCAAGCGGGUAGUGAGGUACUUAUGCUGGAAGAAGAUAUAACAAGGGGUUGAGAAUAACAAACCUCCCAAAUUGUGGGUAGUUGAUCUAUAGAAAAAGUUUGUAACAAUUUAUGCAUUCUUCAACUCUGAAAUUCAGUGGUGGCUUUCUGCCAUGUUUGAGCUUGCUUUAUAAGGCACUUGACAAUGUGUUGAAAAGAGGUUUGCUGAGUUAUUUGUGUCCUUGCCUUUUUUUCCACACCACCAGCAAGCAAGUUCUUAAGGGUAGAUAUAGUGUUGGCACUGAAACAUCCAUUCAGGAUGGACCUGAAUUUAUAGCAUUGUUUCUAAGAAAACUGCAUUUUGAGCUAAACAAAGUUAUAAACAAAGUCCUGAGAAACUAUAUUUAGGUGGGUUGGUUAUUACUUGAAUACUUUACCAUCUUCAACUGGGUGCCUCCUUUAAAUCAAACAUUUCUUUGGGUUUCUUGAAUGAAUUAUCCAUUGUUUUUACACUUUUAAAUUUUUUAUAAUUGUGCAAUAAAUUCAUAGCCUAGUUACUACCAAAGACUAAAUUG